AGCGAACGCUGGCGGCAGGCCUAACACAUGCAAGUCGAACGAUCCUUCGGGAUAGUGGCGGACGGGUGAGUAACGCGUGGGAACGUGCCCUUUGGUUCGGAAUAACUCAGGGAAACUUGAGCUAAUACCGGAUGUGCCCUUCGGGGGAAAGAUUUAUCGCCAUUGGAGCGGCCCGCGUUGGAUUAGCUAGUUGGUGGGGUAAAGGCCCACCAAGGCUACGAUCCAUAGCUGGUCUGAGAGGAUGAUCAGCCACACUGGGACUGAGACACGGCCCAGACUCCUACGGGAGGCAGCAGUGGGGAAUCUUGCGCAAUGGGCGAAAGCCUGACGCAGCCAUGCCGCGUGAAUGAUGAAGGUCUUAGGAUUGUAAAAUUCUUUCACCGGGGACGAUAAUGACGGUACCCGGAGAAGAAGCCCCGGCUAACUUCGUGCCAGCAGCCGCGGUAAUAC
rnacentral:rRNA from 1 species